rnacentral:rRNA from 1 species
GAUGAACGCUGGCGGCGUGCCUAAUACAUGCAAGUCGAGCGAACGGACGAGAAGCUUGCUUCUCUGAUGUUAGCGGCGGACGGGUGAGUAACACGUGGAUAACCUACCUAUAAGACUGGGAUAACUUCGGGAAACCGGAGCUAAUACCGGAUAAUAUUUUGAACCGCAUGGUUCAAAAGUGAAAGACGGUCUUGCUGUCACUUAUAGAUGGAUCCGCGCUGCAUUAGCUAGUUGGUAAGGUAACGGCUUACCAAGGCAACGAUGCAUAGCCGACCUGAGAGGGUGAUCGGCGACACUGGAACGGAGACACGGUCCAGACGCCUACGGGAGGCAGCAGUAGGGAAUCUUCCGCAAUGGGCGAAAGCCUGACGGAGCAACGCCGCGUGAGUGAUGAAGGUCUUCGGAUCGUAAAACUCUGUUAUUAGGGAAGAACAUAUGUGUAAGUAACUGUGCACAUCUUGACGGUACCUAAUCAGAAAGCCACGGCUAACUACGUG